AAUCCGUCGAUUUUUUAAAUCAUGAGGGUUCAAGUCCCUC
rnacentral:tRNA from 1 species